rnacentral:rRNA from 1 species
AGCCUUUAGCUAAACAAGUAUUAAAGGUCCCGCCUGCCCAGUGAAAUAUUUUAACGGCCGCGGUAUUCUAACCGUGCAAAGGUAGCGUAAUCACUUGUCUUCUAAAUAAAGACUAGUAUGAACGGCUAAAUGAGGACAAAACUGUCUCUUAUGACUAAUCAGUGAAACUGAUCUACCAGUACAAAAGCUGGUAUUGCUACAUAAGACGAGAAGACCCUGUGGAGCUUAAAACAAACCACUACCCCCUAAGACCCCUAGUGUACUGUUUUAAGUUGGGGCGACUUCGGAACAAAACAAAACUUCCGAGCAUAGAUCCACCAGAUCUGAACCAAGGCCUACAAGCCAAAAUAAAAACUGACCCGGCCCAAGCCGAUCAACGAACCAAGUUACCCCAGGGAUAACAGCGCUAUCUUCUUCAAGAGUCCAUAUCGACAAGAAGGUUUACGACCUCGAUGUUGGAUCAGGACACCCAAGUGGUGCAGCCGCUACUAAAGGUUCGUUUGUUCAACGAUUAACAGUCCU